rnacentral:rRNA from 1 species
AUGGCGCUGUCCAGGGGCUCUUUUUCAUCUCUCACCGCAGCCUCCUCUCUCCUUUUGCCUUUCCACUUCCCGAAGCUAGGGUUGCCGCCGCCGCCGCCGCCCCAUCUCUCCUCCGGCACCGGGCACCGAAGGAAGGCCGGCUUCUCCCACAUAUCUUCUCCUCUUGAUUGCUACCUCAUAGCAAGGCGUGGCCCAGCUCUUCACCAUGGCGCCGACAGCAAGGCAGGCAGCGCCGCGAGCUCUCGUCACGAGGAAGCCGCAGGAGGACGAGGUCAAGCCGGACUAGGUCGAUGCGCCCCCCUGCCAUACCUCCUUCUUCUCUUGCGGGUUGGUUGCUGGCUUGCUGCUGUUUCUGGUGCCAGGAGCACCAGGCUGCAUCAUAAGACGCCUCAACAGCGACCGACGAAGUCGUCGAGCCGAGGUGAGAACCCCCUUCGGCCCUUCCCACGCCUUCCCAUGCUGCCCCCUCCGUGGUUAUUAGCCGCUAGCCGUAUGUACUGCCGACAUGCAAGCCUUUUGAGUGAGUUCCUCCAUAUUUCAUCAAUUCAGGUUGGUUCAUACACAUCACAGCUAAUGAUGUUCACUUUUGCUUUGGCAAAAUGUUUGGCCGUGGAAGGAAAGCCUUUUGGUGUGGGUAUAUACGGUUAUCCUAUUGAGAUCCAAGCUCUAUUGUACAUGAAAUUAAGAUGUGCUCUUCAAAUGCUUAAGCCGGAUGCCGCCGACGCCUUCCGCCCUGCGCUGCACCUGCAUGACGUGCCUCCGGCGGUCGCCUCGAUCCGCGGCCUGCAGGCCGGCUGGCCGUCCGUCAGAUUAGCACAAGGAAGACGUUGCGCCAUUGAUCGAUCAAGGAAGCUAAUGAAGAGAUUCUUUGGAAAAUCAACAACCCACAAUAUGCCUAAAGAGGUGACAAUUAAACGCUUCCUUGGGAAAAAUCGCCGUGGGAUGAAACAGAAGGAGGUUCACUACACAGAAGACUACCUCCAGAAGUGCAUUAACCAAGAUCAUGAUGCAUUGCCAAUCAAGCUUGCAGAUGGCGAGGUCCCCGUCGUCUCUCGCCUCAUCACAGGGAAUGACAGGAUGACCACCAUCACAACCAACUGGACAGAGUUCCACUGUCAUGCAAACAUGCAUGAGGGUGACAUCUGCGCCUUCUACUUCAGACGCAAGGCAAGGGCGCCAACACCGAAACCCUAUCCAUCCACAUUUCCCCCCUCCCGUCCGCCGCCGCCGCCAUUUUACUCGUCGUCCACCACUAGUAGUAGCCAUGCCCCACGCCGCUAUGAGAAGGAGGAGGAUGAGGAUGAGGUGGAGGUGGAGGAGAAUGAGGAGGAAGAGGAGCAGGGGGAGGAUGAGGAGGAUGCGGGGAGCGCGAAUCAACAGGCGAUCCUUGAUUCCCUUUGGUCGGAAUUGGCGGCGGAGCACACUGCGGACGUCGACGAGAUGCUCGUGUAUAUGGAUGAUGGUGAUGAGGAGGAGCCCUCAUGCACGCCCAUCUACCCAGCGCCCGGCACCGACAUCAUGGACAUCUUCGAUGAUGAAGCGUAUGUUUGUAAACAUGUCGAGUGGUGGACGCUUGAGGGGCUAAAUUUGGGUAGUCGGGCCGCCCCACUCGACUUUACGGUGCACAUACCGAACUUUAUGGACCAAGAGAGGCUUACGGUCCUUCCGACGGAAGAACAACGCAUGAAUAUGUGCCAAAACUCCAAAGUCGACUUAGAAAAUGUGAGGCAACGUCUAAGAGAAAGUUUUGUUAAGAGCCCCGAAUUCGGCGCUCAUCGCCUCUCACUCGCUCAAACGAAGAUGAAAAAAGGAACACACUGGAUUUUCUUCCGGCGCACAAAUGCCAUUCCGUGCAAGCGACGCCUCGGCUGCACGAACGACCUCACUUUACUGGACACGUACCCCGGCUCGGUGGCACAUACCACACCGGCUCGGCAAGUAACCGGCACAUACAUGAGAGAUUGCAUGCCCUGGAGACUAACUCCGGCAACUACUCAUGGACAACAACCUGCCCGGCUCCUAUGCCACUCACACAUCAAGCUACUAGCUACAACCCCACAUGCAGCUAACCAACCGCUAAGGCGCGUGUUUGGUUGCCCGCAUGCAGCCCAACCAGGCCCGCGCGGGAUGUGCGCGGCCUGUUUGGUUGCCUGGGUUGCAUGUGGUUUGUGGCCCGCACGGACUUUAAAGCAGCCCGUAGCCUGGCCCAGCGGAAACUGUCGGUUUCUCGCGAGCCUGGCUCGACGCGGCCACGCGUCCGAGGCAGUUGCACGCCUCGUGCAGCGCGGGAGACGGAGGGGACGUCUCAUAACUCGCCCCCACUCUCCUGUCACCGUCCAGUCGCACUGUUCCCACCGCUCCCUCUCUACCUCGCCGCCCCUCCCUCUCCUCUCCUCCGAUGGCUCUGCCUCGCCCACCGCUGCGCCGCCCUCUAACCCCCGUCGACCAGCGCAUCGCCAGCAUCUAGGAGCGCUGGCUGGCCGGGCUCCAGAACUCGGGCCGAGACCUGGCGUCAGCGUUGCGAGCGCCGUCCCCCAUCUGCUGUCGGCCACCACGAGCGCCGGCCAAUGCGGUGCCGGCCGUUCCUGCUCCGCCGCCGAUUCCGGACCUCGUGGUCCUGGGCUCGGCGCUGGCGCCGUCCACAGAGCCGCCGCUUCUUGGGACCCCAUUGGGCAGGGGGGUUUUCUUGACCCCCGUCCAAGGGUUUUCUGGUGUCGGCGGGCCGUCCUCCUCGACCUUCGGCGUGGCGAUGAGCACGGGGCCGAUGCCGCAGGCCGUCGCCAGGGCCGGCUCCUCCUCUGCUCCGCCACCUCUCUCCUUCCCGCUGGGGUUUUCACCCCGGCCUCGGUUCGCUGCGCGUGCUUCGUGGCAUUUGCUCUUGGGCAAAUGUCUCUGAUCAGUGCCAUUUUGCAAAGAGUUUGUGCACUAAUACUUGUCGUCUUACCUGACAAGAUACUGAAGACUGACUGGGAUGUGGCGGGUGGAGGAGCUCAGGUGGUGGCCGGAGCUGAGGGCGCCGAGGAUUUCAUCCCCACGAACAGGUGGCUUAGGACGGUGGACCUGCCUGGCAGGAUCGCCUUCACGAGCCUGCGUCAUUCAAGGGGACGAUCUCCGAGGCAGGGCCACGAGGAGGGGGGCCGGGAGCCGCUGCGCUUCUACCAGCAGAUCAAGGACAAUGAGGACCUCGCCAUGCUCGUCGUCCCUCCCAAGUCCAGAACUUCGAGGGGGCACAUGGUGCUUGGCCGGGGCUGGAACUACUUCUGCCGCCGCCACCGGAUAAUCCCCAGCGACCUCGUCGUUGUGCGCAUCUCAGGACUCGGAUUGAAGUGUGUGGCGAGACUUGUGUUGGGAACUUGUUCAUAUUUUGGCCAGGAGCAGCACCCUGGCAUGGAGCAGGGAAGGAGGAUGCCCAUGCUAUUAAUCUAG